UACGUAGGGUGCGAGCGUUAAUCGGAAUUACUGGGCGUAAAGCGUGCGCAGGCGGUCUUGCAAGACAGAUGUGAAAUCCCCGGGCUCAACCUGGGAACUGCAUUUGUGACUGCAAGGCUGGAGUGCGGCAGAGGGGGAUGGAAUUCCGCGUGUAGCAGUGAAAUGCGUAGAUAUGCGGAGGAACACCGAUGGCGAAGGCAAUCCCCUGGGCCUGCACUGACGCUCAUGCACGAAAGCGUGGGGAGCAAACAGG
rnacentral:rRNA from 1 species